GACGAACCGUGCGAACGUUAUUCGGAAUCACUGGGCUUAAAGCGCGUGUAGGCGGGUCGGCGCGUCGGCCGCUGAAAUCCCCCGGCUCAACCGGGGAAGCGGCGCCGAUACGGCCGGCCUGGAGGGACGUAGGGGGACCUGGAACUUCCGGUGGAGCGGUGAAAUGCGUUGAGAUCGGAAGGAACGCCCGUGGCGAAAGCGAGGUCCUGGACGUCUACUGACGCUGAGACGCGAAAGCUAGGGGAGCAAACGGG
rnacentral:rRNA from 1 species